rnacentral:rRNA from 1 species
GACGAACGCUGGCGGCGUGCCUAACACAUGCAAGUCGAACGGAGAUAUGAUUUCGGUUGUAUCUUAGUGGCGAACGGGUGAGUAACGCGUGAACAACCUGACUCUAAGAGGGGGAUAACACUCGGAAACGGGUGCUAAUACCGCAUAAGACCACGACCUGGCAUCAGGAUGAGGUCAAAGGAGCAAUCCGCUGAGAGAGGGGUUCGCGUCCCAUUAGAUAGAUGGCGGGGUAACGGCCCACCAUGUCAACGAUGGUAGCCGAGCUGAGAGGCUGAUCGGCCACACUGGAACUGAGACACGGUCCAGACUCCUACGGAGGCAGCAGUGGGGAAUAUUGGGCAAUGGGCGCAAGCCUGACCCAGCAACGCCGCGUGAGGGAAGAAGGCUUUCGGGUUGUAAACCUCUGUCCUUGGUGACGAAACAAAUGACGGUAGCCAAGGAGGAAGCCCCGGCUAACUACGUGCCAGCAG